GAUGAACGCUAGCGGCAGGCUUAACACAUGCAAGUCGAGGGGCAGCACGGGUAGCAAUACCUGGUGGCGACCGGCGCAAGGGUGCGUAACGCGUGAGCAACAUGCCCUAUACAGGGGGAUAAUCCAGGGAAACUUGGUCUAAUAUCCCAUAGUAUUUAGAGGAGGCAUCUUCUAUAAAUUAAAGCUUCGGUGGUAUAGGAUUGGCUCGCGUGACAUUAGCUAGAUGGUGAGGUAACGGCUCACCAUGGCAAUGAUGUCUAGGGGUUCUGAGAGGAAGGCCCCCCACACUGGGACUGAGACACGGCCCAGACUCCUACGGGAGGCAGCAGUGAGGAAUAUUGGACAAUGGAUGGAAAUCUGAUCCAGCCAUGCCGCGUGCAGGAAGACGGCCUAUGGGUUAAACUGCUUUUAUAUGGGAGCAAUAAGGUUUACGCGUAGACCGAUGAGAGUACCAUAUGAAUAGCAUCGGCUAA
rnacentral:rRNA from 1 species